rnacentral:rRNA from 2 species
AGGUGCUAUCAUACCAGCACUAAUGCACCGGAUCCCAUCAGAACUCCACAUUUAAGUGUGCUUGAGAGAGAGUAGUACUAGAACGGGUGACCUCCUAGGAAGUCCUCGUGCUGCACCUC